AGUGAGCGCUGGCGGUAGGCCUAACACAUGCAAGUCGAACGGCAGCACAGGAGAGCUUGCUCUCUGGGUGGCGAGUGGCGGACGGGUGAGGAAUACAUCGGAAUCUACUCUGUCGUGGGGGAUAACGUAGGGAAACUUACGCUAAUACCGCAUACGACCUACGGGUGAAAGCAGGGGACCUUCGGGCCUUGCGCGAUGGAAUGAGCCGAUGUCGGAUUAGCUAGUUGGCGGGGUAAAGGCCCACCAAGGCGACGAUCCGUAGCUGGUCUGAGAGGAUGAUCAGCCACACUGGAACGGAGACACGGUCCAGACUCCUACGGGAGGCAGCAGUGGGGAAUAUUGGACAAUGGGCGCAAGCCUGAUCCAGCCAUACCGCGUGGGUGAAGAAGGCCUUCGGGUUGUAAAGCCCUUUUGUUGGGAAAGAAAUCCAGCUGGCUAAUACCCGGUUGGGAUGACGGUACCCAAAGAAUAAGCACCGGCUAACUUCGUGCCAGCCGCCGCCGUAA
rnacentral:rRNA from 1 species